UUUGCAUGGUGGAGCUCACAGCCCUCUGCCCUGAAUAUUUAUUAUGCUGCUAACACCCUGUGCACAAGCCAGUCCCAGUUAGGACACAGCAUGGACAUGAGGGUCCCUGCUCAGCUCCUGGGGCUCCUGCUCCUCUGCCUCCCAGGUGGGCGAUGUGACAUCCAGAUGACUCAGUCUGCAUCCUCACUGUCUGGCUCUGUAGGAGACACAGUUGCUAUCACUUGCACAGCCAGUCAGAACAUUUACAGCAAUUUACAGUGGUAUCAGCAGAAACCUGGAAAAGCUCCAAAGCUACUGAUCUAUGGUGCAAGCAGUUUGGCAUCUGGGGUCCCACCGAGGUUCAGUGGCAGUGGAUCUGGGACAGAUUACACUCUCACCAUCAGCAACCUGGAACCUGAAGAUGUUGGAACUUAUUACUGUCAACAGGAUAGUAGAUACCCUCCCACAGUGAUACAAGUAAUAACAUAA